UACUGGAUAGGCAAUUUUUCCUGUAAUGGUUUUUUGUUUAAAUGUUUUUUCGCCUAAGGAUGGGUCUGCGGCCGAUUAGGUAGUUGGUUAGGUAACGGCUUACCAAGCCAUUGAUCGGUACGGGUUGUGAGAGCAAGAGCCCGGAGAUGGAACCUGAGACAAGGUUCCAGGCCCUACGGGGUGCAGCAGGCGCGAAACCUCCGCAAUGUGAGAAAUCGCGACGGGGGGAUCCCAAGUGCCAUUCUUAACGGGAUGGCUUUUCAUUAGUGUAAAGAGCUUUUGGAAUAAGGGCUGGGCAAGACCGGUGCCAGCCGCCGCGGUAACACCGGCAGCUCUAGUGGUAGCAGUUUUUAUUGGGCCUAAAGCGUCCGUAGCCGGUUUAAUAAGUCUCUGGUGAAAUCCUGUAGCUUAACUGUGGGAAUUGCUGGAGAUACUAUUAGACUUGAGACCGGGAGAGGUUAGAGGUACUCCCAGGGUAGAGGUGAAACUCUGUAAUCCUGGGAGGACCGCCUGUUGCGAAGGCGUCUAACUGGAACGGUUCUGACGGUGAGGGACGAAAGUUAGGGGCGCGAACCGGAUUAGAUACCCGGGUAGUCCUAACCGUAAACGAUGCGGACUUGGUGUUGGGGUGGCUUUGAGCUGCUCCAGUGCCGAAGGGAAGCUGUUAAGUCCGCCGCCUGGGAAGUACGGUCGCAAGACUGAAACUUAA
rnacentral:rRNA from 1 species